rnacentral:rRNA from 1 species
ACAGCAGCCGCCGCGGGAACACCAGCACCUCGAGUGGUCAGGAGGUUUAUUGGGCCUAAAGCAUCCGUAGCCGGUUGCAUAAGUUUUCGGUUAAAUCUAUGCGCUUAACGUAUAGGCCGCCGAAAAUACUGUGCAGCUAGGGAGUGGGAGAGGUACACGGUACUCGAUAGGAAGGGGUAAAAUCCUUUGAUCUAUUGAUGACCACCUGUGGCGAAGGCGGUGUACCAGAACACGUUCGACGGUGAGGGAUGAAAGCUGGGGGAGCAAACAGGAUUAGAUACCCCAGUAGUCCCUGUCUCUUAUAC